UACGUAGGGGGCAAGCGUUGUCCGGAAUUACUGGGCGUAAAGCGCGUGUAGGCUGCUUCGCAAGUCGGAUGUGAAAGCCCUGGGCUCAACCCAGGAAGUGCAUUCGAAACUGCAGAGCUGGAGUCCUGGAGAGGAAGGCGGAAUUCUCGGUGUAGAGGUGAAAUUCGUAGAUAUCGAGAGGAACACCGGUGGCGAAGGCGGCCUUCUGGGACAGUGACUGACGCUGAGACGGCGAAAAGCG
rnacentral:rRNA from 1 species